GUUUUGCUUUUGGAAAAGAUAAGCUGUGACGUCUGGUAAUGCUCUGCAAGAUCUUUAUGAUUAUCAAUUUUCAUAAUGAAUUAUUUCCAGAAAAUUUGAAAUGAAUCUGAUCUGGCUUUCUGAAGCACUGCUGUUUAAUGCCAAGUUACUAACAAAUUGUAGUUCUGCCUAGUCCAUCUUGGGAAAAUAUCAAAAGAAGUGUCACCUUCAGCCAAAAUGGCAAGAAUCCGGUAAUGACAAUAGUUGCACAUUUCUAUCGUUCUGAAAAAACUGAUUUUUUAACAUUAAAG